AUGCUGAGCUACAUGUGGACAGGAGGAGGGGCCUGGGAAUGGUGGUCACAGGUUGUUGUUGGUGGAGGGACAGCUUUAACUUCCUCCUCCUCAGGUGUCUCUCCCCACCCCGCUGAGCACUUGAUGACUGUAGAUGCUGUGCUGGGAGAACCGGGCUAGCUUUCCUCCCUAGCUGCCAGGCUGCAGAUCAGAACCAGCCUGGGCUCUGGCUUACAAGCUCUCAGUGGUAAUAGACAUUCACAUUUGUGUCCGCAGGCAUAGGAGAGUUAAAUAUCUGGGUGUGGUGGGGAUUAUUACCUCCAGGGCUUGGUGGAUGCAUUUAGAGCUGCAGUCCUCAGACUCAUGACCUCUGUUGAGCUGAGCCUGGCUCUUUUCCCAAUGUUAGCAGCUCAGCAUCUUCCAAUGGCUUGUUGCUGUGUUUGUCUGCUCCCCCUCACCCCAAUGGCGGCUCCGUACUGCAAGCCCGAUGAGUGUAUUUAUGACUGUUCCCUGCACCCACAGCAAGCCCUGGCACCAGCUUGGUAUGUUUGCCAAGCGAGUGGGUGUGAGUAAAUGAGGCCUGGUAUGUUCUGGAAAUGUAAUCAGGAGAUCUAGACAGCAUCUGAAGAGCCAUGAUCUUUCCUAUGUCACCAAAGAGGGGGCCAUUUCCUCUGAUGGGGAUCUUGAGGAUUGUCACAAGGAAUUGAACAUUUUCCACCUCAGCAUGAGCUCCUCCACAGAUCUGAACUCUGCAGGUCCUUCUAGUCCCACCCCUGACCUUCUGUACCAAACAUCUGUGCUGGCCCUUGAACUCCAUGGGGUGCUUGGCCUCUAUGAUCCUUGUCUGGGCUGGUCAGAGCAUGGGAAUAGUCACAGGUUUUCUGCAGGGCCCUGGCACCAUUUCUCUGAAACCCUGAGGCAAUUCCAGUGGGCUGUGUGGCUGGCAGGUCCUAGCUGUGGAGUUCUUGGUGGCAAACUGCAGUCAUAAAGAUAACGGCCCACUUGAUUGCCUUUCAGAUCACUCCCAGGCAGGCAUUUAUAGUAGGGCAUAAACAGGACUUCCCUGUGCUCCCUGUGGUUGUUCCCAGCUCAUGAGAGGCAUGAAGACAGAAACUGUCUGCCCCCCAGCCUCCCUUCAUGCUUGUGCUGCCAACUGUUUUGCAGAAUCAUGCCUAGGUGGGGUGUGGAGACGACAUGCAGGCACACAUUCCAGACAUCCUUUGGUACCCAGGGCUCUGGGGCAGUAGCAAUGUCUCUCAGCCAUAGGUAACUGGCUCACAGAACACUCCUAGCCUCAACUUGGGUCAGUGCUGGGAAAGAAAGUAGCCCCAUGGCUGUAUCAAGCCAGUGUCGGGUGGGCAUGGGAACUACACAGGGAGGGAGGUAUGUGCUCACAGCCUGAAUUUUCUCUGAAGCGCCCCUGUGGGAAAAGUGUCUCAUCCUCGCCUAGGGCCAUCUGUGCAGGUGGAGAGGUCAGGGGAUGGCUGAUGGUCAUCGACAUCAGUACAGGAUCAUAUGGGCCUGUAGAAGGGUGCUGUCAAUAGAUUUUGAUUGAGUUCAAAAUAACAAAAGGGCAAAGAAGCAGGACAAUCCCCAAGUCAAGCACUAGCCCAUGAAGUGACAGAAACUGCAGGAGUCUUUGCCAGGUCACCAGUGUGAUGAGGAUCAAUUUGGCGACUUUCACUGUUCUUUUCAAGUCUCAGAUCCUUCCAAGCUCCCCCUUUCCCUGAGAGAGGACAGAACUGCCAAGGGUGCUGCCCACUGAGGACAACUUGGUGAGCUGCAAAUGCCACAGCUGCUCCUCCUGAUGGCAAGGUCCUGAUUCUGGUCCUUCCUGAACUGCCCUCACACAAGUGGACACCUGUGUCUCCUGUUCUCCCAGCCUUCUUGACUCACCUUUCAGGGCACUGUAGAGAAAGGGCAUUUUCCUGUGGCUUGUCUACAUCCCAUGGAGCUGUAGUUCCAGGGUCAGAAGUCUCUACCUUCCAUCUGUGUUUGGUCCCUGUGGGGUCUUAAUCCCAUCCAUUUUUUAAAUGUAGGGCAUUUAUGUAUGGAAAAGGAAAUAAUAGUCACGAGGGUACUCUAAAUGCACCAUGUAUUAUGAUGCCCCCCUCACUCCAAGCAGGCCUGACUUCUGGCUCUCCUGACCUUGGGUCCCCUGAACAAUGUGGCAAAGACCAUUCUACUCUCAGUGAGGUCAGCCCUGAAUCCAGAGAAAGCAGAGACCCAGCAAGUUGUCUGGGCUCCUGAGCCCUGCUUCUGGUAGAUAAUACACCAAAGCAAAGCCACUAAACCCAGACAUGGUGCUCCAGCACUGGCACAAACACUAGAGGAUGGGAGAAGCAUAUCUGAUCAACCUGACUCAAAUGCUGCAACUACCAGAAAUAAGUGGCACCAGGAGGCUACCAUGGCAUCCUAUAGGCACCAUCUUAUACACACCACACUACACCAUGCCAUCCUAAAUAUGCCAUCCUAUACCACACCAUAUGUCACCCUAUGUAUACCAUCCUACAUACACCAUUCCACAUACAGCAUCCUACAUACGUUACCUCAUCCUAUACUAUCCCAAACUCUACCAUCCCUUUUCACACUAUCCUAUGCCAUACCACUCUCUACCACACCAAUUUACACUACAUCUUUUUAUAUGUAACAUCCUACAUGCGCCACACUAUCCCACCUAUUCCACACUAUAGCAGCCAUCCCACCCCAUGGUAUACCAUGCUAUACCCUCCCAUACCACAUUGCCCUAUAUCUUAUACCAUACCGUAUUGCACCACAGCAUCUGAUCCCACACCAUGUCAUCCCACACCACACUAUCUUAUACCCUAUAUAUACAACAUACCAUCCCACUCCACACCAUCCCACAUCGCACCAUCCCACACCACAUCAGACCACACCACACCACCCAUGCCACACUAUUCCACACCCGUCACACUAUCCAUCCUCCCAUUUAGUUCUUAUCACCAAGAACAGCAUUGUUGGAAGACCAGAACUGUGCAUGUUCACCAGACUGAGAAAUUCUCAAGAAAGUGGAAAGAAAGAAAAUACAAAGAUCUGAACAAUU